ACAGGGGGGCGGGACCAUCAAUCAAAAUCUGUACAAGUUGUCAACUUUAGACAGAAAGUAUUUAAUGGUUUUAUUGCCGGUCAUUUAGAGUGAUUGUUUUUCCUGAGUGUGUUUUAUGUCAAGCGUAUGGUGUCAUGUUUAAUGACGGCUCGUGUUUGUGACAUUUGCUGUUUAUUGACAUUUGAUGUCAGAUCUCAACCAUCCUCCCUCCUUUGCUCGCCCCGUGCGCUUCUCAAUACUGACUUUCACACCGCGGGUGUGUUGUUGAAUCUAAAGUUUUGCAACAGCAUAAGUUUAUUUAAAGGCAAUCACUAAUCAUAUAUAUAUAUAUAUAUUAGAUGUACCAGGCUACGCUUAAAGCCGAUGUUUUCUAUCGAGCUAUAGUUUCUGAUCAGACACAAAGUCUGAACUAAAUAAAAUUUUAAACGGUUCACGAAGUCCGGGAAUCUUUUCAUGACCUGGUCUACAGUUUCACGCGUAUUAAAGAUCCGGCGGUGUCUGACAAAGCGUCGGGUGAUUGUUCAUAUCUGUCAUUUAAAAUAAAGUUAAUAAAUGUAAUUCUAUCCACUAUGGCAAAAUAGGAAUUUAUUUUAGAUUUAGGGGAAUCUUUAACCAUGUCUCUGAUUAAAACUUUUGAUUGUAACAUCACAAGUUAUUUAAUUAAAUAUUCUGUAUACGGGUAUAGUUUAAGCAAUGACCUGAGCCAUUACCUUCGGAGCCGUCAAUACUACAUUCUUUAGACGAUAGUCUAAACUAAAUAAAUUUUUAAACGGUUCAGGAAUUCCGUGAAUCUUUUCAUAACCUGCACUAUAGUUUCACGCGUAUUAAAGAUCCGGCGGUGCCUGACAAAGCGCCGGGUGAGUGUUCAUAUAUGCCAUUUUAAAAUAAUGUUAAUAAAUGUAAUUCUGUCCACUAUGGCAAAAUAGGAUUUUAUUUUAGAUUUAGGGGAGUCUUUAACCAAGUCUCUGACUAAGACAUGUGUAUACGUGCACAGAUGGUGACAGAGAAACUUACAUAUGACGUUAAUAAACUUUUAAAUGUUUUUAAGACGUAUUCACCCCAUUUUGGGGUUUUAUUUUUAAUUAAAGGCUUCUUAAAACAUGUGUGAAUAUGUGUAUAUUAUACAAAGAGUCUUAUAUUGUCUGCUCUGACAAAAAUAAAGUAUUUUUUAGGUUUAGGGGAAUUGACUGCGUGUGUCUUAUAAAUACAACUUGAUAAUACGUUUGUUUUGUAAAGAGACUUCUUUAAAGUCACGCAAGAAUAAAAUAUUUUAGUUGUAACUGGUUAAACUUAAAGCCGAUAUUUUCUAUCGAACUAGUCUAUUUUCUGUUCAGACACAAAGUUUUCUGAUGCUGAUAUUAUGUCAGUGUGUGUUUGUGUGGGGGUCGUGUGAUGUAAUCUUUGAAAGUUUAUGACCGAACCUUUAUUGGGGAGCGACAAGAGAUCUCCCGGAAUCAGUUUGGAUGGAGCAGAGCUGUUAUACUCAAGUCUAUUGCGAAAUUGUCUAAACUGGUAUUAACUAUUCCUGGUAAAUCGCGGAGAAGAGUGGCCUGAACAAAAAAGUCAGACCGAGACUAGAACCUCCCGCAGCGUAACACGGAAAUCUUGGAACAAAAGAGACGCCGACUGGCUCGUGUUGUCCGGUUUGGAUAUCAGAGGCAAAGCGAACGUUGUGUGUACUAUUGCAAAAUAUAUAGCGGAUCUCCACGGUUAGGAUACAGACCACAACGCUUUGGACGUAUCUUUAAAAAAGAUUAAAAUCAGAGACUUUUUGGAUUUGUCUGGGGACAUUUUAAACAUUUUGUGGCAAAUUGGAUUUAAAACAUUUCGGAUACUGGAUACCUAGUUUGAUUUGUCCACAGAGCUUGUUUAAGACGUUUUCACCGCAUUUUAGGGUUUAUUUUUAAUCAAAGGCUUCUUAAAACAUGUGUGAAAAUGUGUAUAUUAUACAAUGAGUCUUAUAUUGUCUGCUCUGACAUAAAUAAAUUUUUAUAUUAGAUUUUAGAUCAAUUGACUGUGUGUGUUUUAUGUCAAGCGUAUGCUGUUAUGUUUAAUGACGGCUCGUGUGACAGCUUGUGUUUAGGCAUUUGAUGUCAGAUAUCACCCUUCCUCCCUCCUUUCGCACAAGACCUGCAUUCUUUCACAGGGGUGCGUGUUGUAAAGCGAUUAAAGAUUUCUAAAACUCAAUGUUGGUAAAACAAUCCCCCAUUACGGUGUCAAAAAAGUAAAAUGUUUAUUUUAGAUUUAGACAAAUCAUGAACAAUGCUACGAUUAAAACAUUUGUUUGUAACAUCACAAGUUAUUUAAUGAAAUAUUCCGUAUACGUGUAUAGUUUAAGCAAUGAU